GUUUGAUCAUGGCUCAGAUUGAACGCUGGCGGCAGGCCUAACACAUGCAAGUCGAGCGGAUGAGAAGAGCUUGCUCUUCGAUUCAGCGGCGGACGGGUGAGUAAUGCCUAGGAAUCUGCCUGGUAGUGGGGGACAACGUUUCGAAAGGAACGCUAAUACCGCAUACGUCCUACGGGAGAAAGCAGGGGACCUUCGGGCCUUGCGCUAUCAGAUGAGCCUAGGUCGGAUUAGCUAAUUGGUGAGGUAAUGGCUCACCAAGGCGAC
rnacentral:rRNA from 1 species